rnacentral:rRNA from 1 species
AGUAACGCGUAUGCAACUUGCCUAUCAGAGGGGGAUAACCCGGCGAAAGUCGGACUAAUACCGCAUGAAGCAGGGGCCCCGCAUGGGGAUAUUUGCUAAAGAUUCAUCGCUGAUAGAUAGGCAUGCGUUCCAUUAGGCAGUUGGCGGGGUAACGGCCCACCAAACCGACGAUGGAUAGGGGUUCUGAGAGGAAGGUCCCCCACAUUGGUACUGAGACACGGACCAAACUCCUACGGGAGGCAGCAGUGAGGAAUAUUGGUCAAUGGCCGAGAGGCUGAACCAGCCAAGUCGCGUGAGGGAUGAAGGUUCUAUGGAUCGUAAACCUCUUUUAUAAGGGAAUAAAGUGCGGGACGUGUCCCGUUUUGUAUGUACCUUAUGAAUAAGGAUCGGCUAACUACGUGCCAG